UUGCAGUUUAGUAAAGAUAGAACGUUGAAUCAGCAUCCUAGUUCGAUCCCGAAUUCAUUAAGGUGAUACGGGCGAUGGGAUGGGGUUAGGUAGUGGCAGCAGACAGAGGGAUGGGCAUGCUGGCCUAGGCACGGCGGCUGACAAUCGGAGCAAGUGGGGAGGCUGAGAAUGAGGCUAGGGUUUCGGUGGUAAAUGGGUUAGUUUAGAUGGGCUUGGGUAGGUUUAGUUUGGGUUAGUUUGUAUUAGAUAUUGGGCUUUGUAAUUUUAAUGGGUUUAAAAUGUUGUAAACGGGCUUAUGGGUUUAGGGAUUGGGUUUAAUUAGGCUCCGGGUAUGGGUUUGAAAAUGGGUUAAGGGGUUUGGAUGUAAAUGGGCCCGAGUCAUUUAAAACGGCCCAAAAUUGGCCUAUAACAGUGCAAAAUGUUUGAAUCAUAAAUCAAACAUAAUAACUUUAAAAGGAUUUAGACGAAUUAAUAAAACAAAGCUUAUAUAUAAUUUACAUAUGGAAUCAAAA